AGGGCACCACCAGGAGUGGAGCCUGCGGCUUAAUUUGACUCAACACGGGGAAACUCACCCGGCCCGGACACUGGAAGGAUUGACAGAUUGAGAGCUCUUUCUUGAUUCAGUGGGUGGUGGUGCAUGGCCGUUCUUAGUUGGUGGAGCGAUUUGUCUGGUUAAUUCCGAUAACGAACGAGACUCUAGCCUACUAAAUAGAUCGCCGGUUUACAAACAUCGGUGAGACCUCUUAGAGGGACAGGCGGCGAUUCAGCCGCACGAAACAGAGCAAUAACAGGUCUGUGAUGCCCUUAGAUGUUCGGGGCCGCACGCGCGCUACACUGAAGUGAUCAGCGUGCUUUUUAAGCCUACUCUGCCAAGAGUGGGAAACCCAAUGAACCUUCUUCGUGAUUGGGAUAGGAGAUUGUAAUUAUUCUCCUUGAACGAGGAAUUCCCAGUAAGCGCGAGUCAUUAGCUCGCGUUGAUUACGUCCCUGCCCUUUGUACACACCGCCCGUCGCUACUACCGAUUGAAUGUUUU
rnacentral:rRNA from 1 species